rnacentral:sRNA from 1 species
UGAGGAUGAGAACCUCCGGGGGCAGGGAGGUUCGACUCGAGCGAAGCGAGAGAACGUUGCGCCAGCAACGGCCCGCAGGGCGAGCCACGAAGUGGCGAGUAAUCCUCUAUCACCGACCA